UACGGGAGGCAGCAGUGAGGAAUAUUGGACAAUGGGCGCAAGCCUGGUCUAGCGAUGCCGCGUGAGUGACGAAGGCCUUAGGGUCGUAAAGCUCUUUCGCCAGGGAUGAUAAUGACAGUACCUGGUAAAGAAACCCCGGCUAACUCCGUGCCAGCAGCCGCGGUAAU
rnacentral:rRNA from 1 species